GGCUCCAAUUGCAGAACUCUUUACCCAGGUGUGGGCGGGGCUAACAUCAAAGCACUAAGUACAUUACCUGCACAGGUUCCCCCACACCUCGACGUUGCUGGACUGUGUCGCACACAUGGAGAGCCACUCUAAAAUAUGGACGGCCGAGGAAACUCAUUAUCUGCUGUACAUUUGGACGUCGGCAGAGGUGCAGAACAAACUAGAAACGGCGACGAGAACGCGGCCUGUUUUGGAGAAGAUCCGCGAGGAGAUGGCAGAAGCCGGCUUCGUGCGGACUUUUGAUCAGAUUAAUAACAAGCUGAAGAAGCUGAAGAAGGACUACAGGGACCACAAGAAGGGUCUUUGCAGACAACGCAGUGCGGGAGGGAAAAUGUUAUUCUUCAAACAACUCAACUCCGUCUUGGGGAACAGAAAGGCGUGUCAGCUCACCGGGAAAGCGUUUAAUAAUUAUAAGACGAGCCAAGACCCUGGACCGAGUCAGACCUGCAUGGACUUUUUAACUGAAGCAGAUGAGCUGGCCCUCAGUGGGAACAUUGGCGAGCAUGCGAUGAAUGGAACACCAAGAGGGACUUCAUCAGAGUCUCUCUCCCCUCAAGACACACGUACCUUCAUAAAAUAUUCUGAUAGUGCACUUUGCCUUGUAGAGCCCAAGGAGGAGGAUGAUAAAGACACAGUGUUUACUGCAUUGGGGAGGGAUCCUGAAAGGCCCGCAGAGAGAACAGCCGGACACGAGCAGUGUUCAUCAAACUUUUCAUCACAGAUUGACAUCGUAAGAAAUGCCAGUAAAUGAGGUGUACAAAAUGCAUCUGCUCAAGAAAAUGGAAAAAACCGACAAAGAAAUGGUGUACUUGGACUGGCAAAUCAAGAAAGCACAUCUGGAAUUUGAAAUUCUAAAAUACAAGCUAGAGUUUCACAAAUUCCUCAGUAAACUCAGCAAGACGUCACUGUGGAGUUAUUGAGUCUGUUUAGCUGAUUGGAGAGCGAGCUUCCACAGCUAGUGGGUCCAUGACGAUGACUUCUGUUUUGUUUGAUCAGCCAUUUUACUGCCAUGUUACAGACACCGUUUGGAAACAAAUAAGGUGGCCCUUGGCAAAGGCCUAGUACCUGACUGCCCCCUAGCCAGGGAUACGGUGAAGACCUCAACGGCGGAUUUAAGAACUAUCACAACGGCUGCGAUGGCGGAAGAAGGCUGCAGCAGAAAAGGGUCCCCAGUCGUCUUGGACUCCAUGCCACUGGACCCUGACCCGAUUCUGUCAAGGAUCGUUUGGUGACUGUCUGUGCACCAGUCUCCCCAUGUUAAACUAAGUCACGCACAGGCAUCCUCCAUAAAGGGAUACACCCCUACCAGGAGGAUCGUCACACUCGUUUCGAGUGACCGCCGAUGAUGAUGAUGAUGACACCAUCUGGGGGAGAAAUAUACCGCCUCGAAAAACACGAGUUACGACUGCUGUCGAUCUCGAGAUAAUUAAGUUAAUUUUCACAGAUAAAAAACACAAAUCGCUGUGCAAAACAUAGAAUUAAAACAAAUACGUUAAAACAACUGGGGCAGUAUUGCAGUCUCUCUGCCGCACUGUUGUGACGAAACGAGAGCUGGGCCAGAAGGCAAAGCUCUCAGUCUACCGAGCUAUCUACAUUCCUACUCUUACCUAUGGUCAUGAAGUG